UAUUGGGCGUUAAUUAGGAAUAGUAAGUAAAGAUUGAUUUUCAGAGAAAAAGUGGUUGGUGAAAACUUUUAUUUAAUCUUAUUGAAGCUACCUAGGAGUCAUAUGUUAUCGAGGGAUAUAUAGAUUUUCUAUAUAUAAUUAGGGUGGUAACGCGGAAGAAUGCUUUCGUCCCUUUU
rnacentral:ncRNA from 1 species